GUGUCGGUAGUGUAAAGGAUAAGAGCACGUCCCCGGAAAGGACAAGUACGGGUUCGAGCCCCGUCCGAGACU
rnacentral:tRNA from 1 species